rnacentral:rRNA from 1 species
AACGAACGCUGGCGGCAUGCCUAACACAUGCAAGUCGAACGAGACCUUCGGGUCUAGUGGCGCACGGGUGCGUAACGCGUGGGAAUCUGCCCUUGGGUUCGGAAUAACAGUUAGAGAUGACUGCUAAUACCGGAUGAUGACGUAAGUCCAAAGAUUUAUCGCCCAAGGAUGAGCCCGCGUAGGAUUAGCUUGUUGGUGAGGUAAAGGCUCACCAAGGCGACGAUCCUUAGCUGGUCUGAGAGGAUGAUCAGCCACACUGGGACUGAGACACGGCCCAGACUCCUACGGGAGGCAGCAGUGGGGAAUAUUGGACAAUGGGCGAAAGCCUGAUCCAGCAAUGCCGCGUGAGUGAUGAAGGCCUUAGGGUUGUAAAGCUCUUUUACCCGGGAUGAUAAUGACAGUACCGGGAGAAUAAGCCCCGGCUAACUCCGUGCCAGCCGCCGCCGUAAAAC